rnacentral:rRNA from 1 species
CAGCCGCCACGGGAAUACGAAGGGGGCUAGCGUUGCUCGGAAUCACUGGGCGUAAAGGGUGCGUAGGCGGGUCUUUAAGUCAGGGGUGAAAUCCUGGAGCUCAACUCCAGAACUGCCUUUGAUACUGAAGAUCUUGAGUUCGGGAGAGGUGAGUGGAACUGCGAGUGUAGAGGUGAAAUUCGUAGAUAUUCGCAAGAACACCAGUGGUGAAGGCGGCUCACUGGCCCGAUACUGACGCUGAGGCACGAAAGCGUGGGGAGCAAACAGGAUUAGAUAACCGUGUAGUCCCUGUCUCUUAUAC